GACGAACGCUGGCGGCGGGCUUAACACAUGCAAGUCGAACGGAAAGGCCCUGCUUUUGUGGGGUGCUCGAGUGGCGAACGGGUGAGUAACACGUGAGUAACCUGCCCUUGACUUUGGGAUAACUUCAGGCAACUGGGGCUAAUACCGGCUAGGAGCUCCUGCUGCAUGGGGGGGGUUGGAAAGUUUCGGCGGAUGGGGAUGUACUCGCGGCUUAUCAGCUUGUUGGUGGGGUAGUGGCUUACCAAGGCUUUGGCAGGUAGCCGGCCUGAGUGGGUGACCGGCCACACUGGGACUGAGAGACGGCCCAGACUGCUACGGGAGGCAGCAGUGGGGAAUAUUGCACAAUGGGCGGAAGCCGGAUGCAGCAACGCCGCGGGCGGGAUGACGGCCUUCGGGUGGUAAACCGCUUUCGCCUGUGACGAAGCGUGAGUGACGGUAAUGGGUAAAGAAGCACCGGCUAACUACGUG
rnacentral:rRNA from 1 species